rnacentral:rRNA from 1 species
UACGUAGGGUGCAAGCGUUGUCCGGAAUUAUUGGGCGUAAAGAGCUCGUAGGCGGUUUGUCGCGUCUGUUGUGAAAAACCUGGGGCUUAACCCUGGGCCUGCAGUGGGUACGGGCAGACUAGAGUGCGGUAGGGGAGACUGGAAUUCCGUGGUGUAGCGGUGAAAUGCGCAGAUAUCAGGAGGAACACCGGUGGCGAAAGGCGGGGUCUCUGGGCCGUAACUGACGCUGAGGAGCGAAAACAUGGGGGAGCGAACAGG